UACGUAGGUGGCAAGCGUUGUCCGGAUUUACUGGGCGUAAAGAGCGCGCAGGCGGUCGUUCAAGUCGCGUGUGAAAGCCCCCGGCUCAACUGGGGAGGGUCACGCGAUACUGAUCGACUCGAAGGCAGGAGAGGGUAGUGGAAUUCCCGGUGUAGUGGUGAAAUGCGUAGAUAUCGGAAGGAACACCGGUGGCGAAAGCGGCGUACUGGGGCUUAACUGACGCUGAGGCACGAAAGCCAGGGGAGCGAACGGG
rnacentral:rRNA from 1 species